GACGAGGGGUCCUAGCGUUGUUCGGAAUCACUGGGCGUAAAGCGGAUGUAGGUGGAUUAGCAAGUCAGAUGUGAAAUCCCGGGGCUCAACCCCGGAACUGCAUUUGAUACUGCUGAUCUUGAGUACUGGAGAGGGUAGUAGAAUUCCUGGUGUAGUGGUGAAAUACGUAGAUAUCAGGAGGAAUACCGGUGGCGAAGGCGGCUACCUGGCCAGAUACUGACACUCAGAUCCGAAAGCGUGGGGAUCAAACAGG
rnacentral:rRNA from 1 species